rnacentral:misc_RNA from 2 species
AACGCACCUUGCGCUCCUUGGUAUUCCGAGGAGCAUGCCUGUUUGAGUGUCAUUAAAUUCUCAACCCCUCCAGCUUUUGCGAGUUGUGAUGGGGCUUGGAUCUGGGAGUUUGCGGGUCUUUAUCAAUAAAGGUCAGCUCUCCUGAAAUGCAUUAGCGGAACCGUUUGCAGUCCCGUCACUAGUGUGAUAAUUAUCUACACUGUGAUGAUUGCUCUCUGACUAGUUCAGCUGCUAAUCGUCCACUAUGGACAACACUUAAUGAAAUUCUUGACCUCAAAUCAGGUAGGACUACCCGCUGAACUUAA